UUCUUUUUAAAUUGGUUCUUGACAAAACCGUUUUUAAAAGAUUUUCUUUUAAAUCGGUUCUUGACCAAACUGUUUUUAAAAAGAUUUUUCUUUAUUUUUAAACCUUGGAUGGAUGUUACGCUCUGAUACCAGAGUUUUCGGCAGAGGUAGCUGCAUUUGCGGAAGGUAAUCUUUCGAGGGUCUUUUGAAUCCUUGAGAGAUUUAAGUCUCUUUGGAGACAUUUUUGAAAACUUCUAACGUCGUCUUCAUCAUAUGUUUGGGUUUGUGAUGCCCAUUCUAUAGUGCCUUC
rnacentral:lncRNA from 1 species